AUUGAACGCUGGCGGCAGGCCUAACACAUGCAAGUCGAACGAGUGGCAGACGGGUGAGUAAUGUCUGGGAAACUGCCUGAUGGGGGGGGAUAACUACUGGAAACGGUAGCUAAUAACGCAUACCAUCAGAUGUGCCCAGAUGGGAUUAGCUAGUUGGUGGGGAAACGGCUUACCAAGGCGACGAUCCCUAGCUGGUCUGAGAGGAGGACCAUCCACACUGGAACUUAGACACGGUCCAGACUCCUACGGGAGGCAGCAGUGUGGAAUAUUGCACAAUGGUCGCAAGCCUUAUGCAGCCAUGCCGCGUGUAUGAAGAAGGCCUUCGGGUUGUAAAGUACUUUCAGCGGGGAGGCGUUACCCGCAGAAGAAGCACCGGCUAACUCCGUGCCAGCAGCCGCGGUAAUUC
rnacentral:rRNA from 1 species